rnacentral:rRNA from 1 species
UACGAAGGGGGCUAGCGUUGCUCGGAAUCACUGGGCGUAAAGCGUGCGCAGGCGGUUCGUCGUGUCCGAUGUGAAAGCCCCGGGCUCAACCUGGGAAUGGCAUUGGAAACUGGCGGGCUUGAGUGUGGCAGAGGGGGGUGGAAUUCCGCGUGUAGCAGUGAAAUGCGUAGAGAUGCGGAGGAACACCGAUGGCGAAGGCAGCCCCCUGGGCUAACACUGACGCUCGAGGCACGAAAGCGUGGGGAGCAAACAGG